CAACCUGCCCAUCACUUGGGGAUAACCUUGCGAAAGUAAGACUAAUACCCAAUGACGUCUCUAGAAGACAUCUGAAAGAGAUUAAAGAUUUAUCGGUGAUGGAUGGGGAUGCGUCUGAUUAGCUUGUUGGCGGGGUAACGGCCCACCAAGGCGACGAUCAGUAGGGGUUCUGAGAGGAAGGUCCCCCACAUUGGAACUGAGACACGGUCCAAACUCCUACGGGAGGCAGCAGUGAGGAAUAUUGGUCAAUGGGCGAGAGCCUGAACCAGCCAAGUAGCGUGCAGGAUGACGGCCCUAUGGGUUGUAAACUGCUUUUAUAAGGGAAUAAAGUGAGUCUCGUGAGACUUUUUGCAUGUACCUUAUGAAUAAGGACCGGCUAAUUCCGUGCCAGCAGCCGCGGUAAUACGGAAGGUCCGGGCGUUAUCCGGAUUUAUUGGGUUUAAAGGGAGCGUAGGCCGGAGAUUAAGCGUGUUGCGAAACGUAGACGCUCAACGUCUGCACUGCAGCGCGAACUGGUUUCCUUGAGUACGCACAAAGUGGGCGGAAUUCGUGGUGUAGCGGUGAAAUGCUUAGAUAUCACGAAGAACUCCGAUUG
rnacentral:rRNA from 1 species